UGGGGAUUCGUCUAAUGGUAGGACAACGGACUCUGACUCCGUUUGUAGAGGUUCGAGUCCUCUAUCCCCAGCCA
rnacentral:tRNA from 3 species